rnacentral:rRNA from 1 species
UACGGAGGGUGCAAGCGUUAUCCGGAUUCACUGGGUUUAAAGGGUGCGUAGGUGGGAAUGUAAGUCAGUGGUGAAAUCUCCGUGCUUAACAUGGAAACUGCCAUUGAUACUAUGUUUCUUGAAUUUUCUGGAGGUUAGCGGAAUAUGUCAUGUAGCGGUGAAAUGCUUAGAUAUGACAUAGAACACCAAUUGCGAAGGCAGCUAGCUACAGGGAUAUUGACACUGAGGCACGAAAGCGUGGGGAGCGAACAGG